UAGAUUUCCUUCACCUUCAGCCAGCACCCCUGCUUGCUGUGGUGCCUCACCUGGUGGUGUGAUUUAGACUUGCAUCUCCUAGACAACUGAGCCCCUGGCCACCAUGUUUACUUCAAAAUUGGAUAAAGUACCAAGACAGGCCAACUCAGCCACCUAAGUGCUAGAUGUAUGCCUACCUGCCCCCCUCACAGCAGCCUAUCUCCUCCUGAUGAUCAAGGUCAAUUACACCUGCCACAACGGUGACUCUUUUUGCUGACUGGUCCCCUGGCAUGAAGAGCCUGAAGAGCAUAGAUGGUAGCCAUAGUUUAUAGUUCAAGAGGACUCUUGCUAUGCUUCAUGUGAAUGUGUUCCCCCUUUGAGAACAAAGAAUUCUAAACGUGCGGAACACAGAGCUGUGUACUUAAGAAGCACAAAUUCCCAAAUGGAUCACUGGAAGUGAUGUACCCACCAGAUCGUUCCUGAGACUGCUCCAGUCAUCUCGGGACAUGCGCUCACGCGGAUGCGCCUCUGCUCUGCCCCAGCUAGAGUGGGAGGGAAAUUUGGCCUCGACUGAAAAUAGCAGAGAGUAAACACGCCAAGACAACUGCAGACAUUUUCUGUUGGGACAAAACAAAGAACAGACCACCCGCCAAGUUUCUGUGGUAGCCUUCUGUGGCCCCCAGUGAUGGGCAACAGUGUGGGAUGUGGGACUGAAGCAGCAUCAUGGAAAUCUGCUUCAUGGCUCUGGGACUUUGGAAAAGGAAAACCUUCUGUUUGAAAUCAAUGAAGAGUUCCCAAAGUAAUGUGAAGUUGCAGGAGUGUGAUCCAGUUGAUGAGGAAAGGCAACAGAAGAGAGACUAAAAUUUGACAUCUCUUUUCUCCUUGAGGAGAAAGUAGCAGCUGAGGGAUGAAAAAGUCAAGAAGAACUUCUAAGUUCGAGGGGCCUGGUGAGACAAAAAAUUGACUUUAAGAUCUGCUGGGAGUCAGGGCAUGAUGUAUAUUAAAGGAUGAACUGUGUCCUUCAAAUAAGAGAGAUCUGGAAAUGGACAAGUGCUGACAAGAACUGAAAUGCAACUUUAGAAGACAAUAAUCCUGAAUAGAUUGAGAUCUGCCCUUGCCGAGCUGCCUAGGGAAAGCAUAAAUAAAUAAACAAUCUCAAACUUCAA